UUUAUGGAGAGUUUGAUCCUGGCUCAGGAUGAACGCUGGCGGCGUGCCUAAUACAUGCAAGUCGAGCGGUAAGGCCCUUCGGGGUACACGAGCGGCGAACGGCUGAGUAACGCGUGGGAAUUCACCCCAAAGUGAGGGAUAAGCAUCGGAAACGGUGUCUAAUACCGCAUAUGGUCUUCGGAUUAAAGUUUUAUACGCUUUG
rnacentral:ncRNA from 1 species